rnacentral:rRNA from 1 species
UACAUAUCAAUAAGCGGAGGAAAAGAAACCAACAGGGAUUGCCCCAGUAACGGCGAGUGAAGCGGCAUCAGCUCAAAUUUGAAAUCUGGCUCUUUUAGAGUCCGAGUUGUAAUUUGCAGAGGGCGCUUUGGCAUAGGCAGCGAUUCAAGUUCCUUGGAACAGGACGUCACAGAGGGUGAGAAUCCCGUACGUGGUCGCCAGCUCUUGCCGUGUAAAGCCCCUUCGACGAGUCGAGUUGUUUGGGAAUGCAGCUCUAAAUGGGAGGUAAAUUUCUUCUAAAGCUAAAUAUUGGCCAGAGACCGAUAGCGCACAAGUAGAGUGAUCGAAAGAUGAAAAGUACUUUGGAAAGAGAGUCAAAAAGCACGUGAAAUUGUUGAAAGGGAAGCGCUUGCAGCCAGACUUGCCUGUAGUUGCUCAUCCGGGCUCUUGCCCGGUGCACUCUUCUGUAGGCAGGCCAGCAUCAGUUUGGGCGGUUGGAUAAAGGUCUCUGUCAUGUACCUCUCUUCGGGGAGGCCUUAUAGGGGAGGCGACAUACAACCAGCCUGGACUGAGGUCCGCGCAUUCGUGCUAGGAUGCUGGCGUAAUGGCUGUAAGCGGCCCGUCUUGAAACACGGACCAAGGAGUCUAACAUCUAUGCGAGUGUUUGGGUGUCAAGCCCGAGCGCGUAAUGAAAGUGAACGGAGGUAGGAACCCUUUUGGGCGCACUAUCGACCGAUCCUGAUGUCUUCGGAAGGAUUUGAGUAAGAGCAUGGCUGUUGGGACCCGAAAGAUGGUGAACUAUGCUUGAAUAGGGUGAAGCCAGAGGAAACUCUGGUGGAGGCUCGCAGCGGUUCUGACGUGCAAAUCGAUCGUCAAAUUUGGGCAUAGGGGCGAAAGACUAAUCGAACUAUCUAGUAGCUGGUUCCUGCGAGU